rnacentral:rRNA from 1 species
AUUGAACGCUGGCGGCAGGCCUAACACAUGCAAGUCGAGCGGCAGCAGGGAAAUUGCUCCUUGAUUCAGCGGCGGACGGGUGGGUAAUGGCUAGGAAUAUGGCUAGUUGUGUGGUCUAAGGUCCGAACGCGGGCGCUCUUACGGUAUACGCGCUUACGGCCUACGUGGGGAAGCAUCGGACCUUCCGCCCUCACACGAUCCUAGGUCGGAUUAGCUAGUUGGCGGGGUAAAGGCCUACCAAGGCGACGAUCCGUAACUGGUCUGAGAGGAUGAUCAGUCACACUGGAACUGAGACACGGUCCAGACUCCUACGGGAGGCAGCAGUGGGGAAUAUUGGACAAUGGGCGAAAGCCUGAUCCAGCCAUGCCGCGUGUGUGAAGAAGGUCUUCGGAUUGUAAAGCACUUUAAGUGGGGAGGAAGGGCAGUAAGUUAAUACCUUGCUGUUUUGACGGUACCAACAGAAUAAGCACCGGCUAACUUCGUG